CCAUGCAGUCGAACGAUGACGACCGUGCUUGCACGGUCUGAUUAGUGGCGAACGGGUGAGUAACACGUGAGUAACCUGCCCCCCACUCUGGGAUAACCUCGGGAAAUCGGGGCUAAUACCGGAUAUGAGCUCCUGCCGCAUGGUGGGUGCUGGAAAGUUUUUCGGUGGGGGAUGGACUCGCGGCCUAUCAGUUUGUUGGUGAGGUAAUGGCUCACCAAGGCGAUGACGGGUAGCCGGCCUGAGAGGGCGACCGGCCACACUGGGACUGAGACACGGCCCAGACUCCUACGGGAGGCAGCAGUGGGGAAUAUUGCACAAUGGGCGAAAGCCUGAUGCAGCGACGCCGCGUGGGGGAUGACGGCCUUCGGGUUGUAAACCUCUUUCAGUAGGGAAGAAGCGAAAGUGACGGUACCUGCAGAAGAAGCGCCGGCUAACUACGUGCCAGCAGCCGCGGUAAUACGUAGGGCGCAAGCGUUGUCCGGAAUUAUUGGGCGUAAAGAGCUUGUAGGUGGCUUGUCGCGUCUGCCGUGAAAACCCGAGGCUCAACCUCGGGCGUGCGGUGGGUACGGGCAGGCUAGAGUGUGGUAGGGGAGACUGGAACUCCUGGUGUAGCGGUGAAAUGCGCAGAUAUCAGGAAGAACACCGAUGGCGAAGGCAGGUCUCUGGGCCAUUACUGACACUGAGAAGCGAAAGCAUGGGGAGCGAACAGGAUUAGAUACCCUGGUAGUCCAUGCCGUAAACGUUGGGCACUAGGUGUGGGGAACAUUCCACGUUUUCCGCGCCGUAGCUAACGCAUUAAGUGCCCCGCCUGGGGAGUACGGCCGCAAGGCUAAAACUCAAAGGAAUUGACGG
rnacentral:rRNA from 1 species